rnacentral:rRNA from 2 species
AAGUGCAUGUGGUGGAUGCCUUGGCGAUUACAGGCGAUGAAGGACGUAGUAGCCUGCGAAAAGCUGCGGGGAGCUGGCAAACAAGCUUUGAUCCGCAGAUGUCCGAAUGGGGAAACCCGGCCCGUAUGGGUCAUCCCUUGCUGAAUACAU